GAUGAAGAACGCAGCGAAAUGCGAUAAGUAAUGUGAAUUGCAGAAUUCAGUGGAUCAUCGAAUCUUUGAACGCACAUAGCGCCCCCUGGUAUUCCGGGGGGCAUGCCUGUUCGAGCGUCAUUACAACCCUCAAGCUCUGCUUGGUAUUGGGCCCCGCCAGUUCUGGCGGGCCCUAAAGUCAGUGGCGGUGCCUUCCGGCUCCGAGCGUAGUAAUUCUUCUCGCUCUGGAGACCCGGUUGUGUGCUUGCCAACAACCCCCAAUUUUUUAAGGUUGACCUCGGAUCAGGUAGGGAUACCCGCUGAACUUAAGCAUAUCAAUAAGCGGAGGA
rnacentral:misc_RNA from 1 species